UACGUAGGGGGCAAGCGUUGUCCGGAAUCAUUGGGCGUAAAGAGCGUGUAGGCGGCUCGGUAAGUCUGCUCUGAAAGCCCGGGGCUCAACCCCGGGAGGCGGGCGGAUACUGUCGGGCUAGAGUCCGGAAGAGGCGAGUGGAAUUCCUGGUGUAGCGGUGAAAUGCGCAGAUAUCAGGAGGAACACCAAUUGCGAAGGCAGGUUACUAAGCAACAACUGACGCUGAUGGACGAAAGCGUGGGGAGCGAACAGG
rnacentral:rRNA from 1 species